rnacentral:misc_RNA from 1 species
ACGAAGACACUCCUGGAGGAAUGGAGGUUGUGCUACAGUCUGUCUAGGAAAUAUCAGGGCAAACUAGCCAUGGUUGGCGCCACCUCGGCGGCCGCCGUGUGGUACCUGAGUGAGGUGGGGGAGCAGCGGUGGCUGUGGCUGGCCGGGGGGCUGACUUUUAUCUCCGUGUGGCCCUGGACACUGCUGGCCAUGAUGCCCGACAUCAGCAAACUGCACGAGGAGGACGUGCUUAAGAAAGAAGGUGAGAGUUGGGUGAGAGAUAAAAUCAAGUUGUGGAAUAGACGACACGCCGUCCGUAGCGUCGUCUCCAGUCUGGCCUUUGACCUCCUAGCAGCAGCUGUCUAUCUAAACCGGAUGACGUAAACCGGAAGUCUACAAAGAACCGGAAAUGAAACAAAUCAUCAAAAUUUUGAGAAAUUGAAAUACGUCUUGAUUUAUCAAUAAGCUGGCCAUGAGAUGUAGAAAAGUAGAUUCAAUGUUUUUUUUUGUGAUUUUAUUGUAUCGCAAAUCAAAUGACUGCAAUCAUUGCCUGAUUUAACGAGGCCGGGUCUAAUUUGUUCUGCCCUAGAUUUUUGGAUGAAACUUUUUACAUGAAUUUCUACUGAUAUAAUUAUUAUUUUAAGAUUAAAAAAUAAGACAUUUACCACACCGUUUGUUUAGGGGGUCAUCUCAAAGUUUGUUCGUCUUUAACAUAGGACCCUAUGGGAUUUUGCUUGAAAUGUAUCAAUUUUGCAUAUUUUUUACAUUUUUUCAAAACUUCUGCCCUAGGGAUUUCUUUUUCUGUUCUACAUAUUAAAGUUAUUGCUAAAAGGCAUCAAAUUGUCAAAUAAAAAAAACCUUUUACCUCCUGGUUUGUUCCAGGGGUCUUAUCAAAGUUGAUUUUUGUAUGCCCAAUUUCCCAGAUUCGUCAGAUAAUGGCUAUUUUUUAUUUGACAAAGGCGGAAAAGGUGAUCUUCUUAGUAUUAUUAAAACAUUCGGACAUAUUUAAGUAAUAAAAAAAUAUAUAACAUCACAUAUUAAGAGUCAUUAAUAUAAAAUACAUGGUUACUGUCUUGAAAUAUAUGAAUUAAGCUAUAUUUAGGCGGGUUAAGAAAACGUGACAGAGGGCUAGGCUUGCUGAACCCUCUUCAUGUUUUCGACCCGAGCCCUAAUAUAGCUUAUACUUCGAGAUAUUUAUGUUUAUUCCACAAUAUAACAUUAUUUUUACGCAUCAAACGAGACAUUUUCUACAAUUUUCGCUGAAUAUCUGCAGUUGAAACUAUAACGCCAUGGCGUCAACUAAGCAAAAAGAUGACGUCACAAUACAAAUGAAACGCUGCGCGAAAGCGUGCGUACUCGUUCUGUACUCGGCCUCGUUAAUUUACAGGAUUUUUUUCAUAUAUGUUAUACUUUUGUUUUACCAAAUGCAAUAAAAGUGUUUCACAU